UUCACGAGUUAGCGGAGACCUAGGCUACGUUUAUACUAUAUACCGCAGAAAGCUUUCCGUAGCGGCGCGAUACAGAAUGUACAACUUUCAGAAGCUGAGCGAAACAUCUCUCUGUUGCAAUAAUUCCUCUGAGAAAAGCGUUCCUAAAAGGUACGGAUAGGCGUUUUUUUCACGUCGCUACGGAAAGCUGUCCAGUAUAGACUAGUGAAACGUAACCUUGAUUUUUUACACGGAAUUGAAAGUCGUUGUUUUAACAAUAAAUAUCCGAUGUUCGGGUGCCCCAGUCAAUACAGUGUCCCAGUCAAUACAGUGUCCCAGUCAAUACAGUGUCCCAGUCAAUACAGUGUCCCAGUCAAUACAGUGUCCCAGUCAAUACAGUGUCCCAGUCAAUACAGUGUCCCAGUCAAUACAGUGUCCCAGUCAAUACAAUGUCCCAGUCAAUACAGUGUCCCAGUCAAUACAGUGUCCCAGUCAAUACAGUGUCCCA